AAGUGAUCCGGUGGUUCCGUGUGGACGGGCCAUCGCUCAACGGAUAAAAGGUACGCUGGGGAUAACAGGCUUAUCGCGCCCGAGAGUUCACAUCGACGGCGCGGUUUGGCACCUCGAUGUCGGCUUAUCACAUCCUGGGGCUGGAGAAGGUCCCAAGGGUCCGGCUGUUCGCCGGUUAAAGUGGUACAUGAGCUGGGUUCAGAACGUCGUGAGACAGUUCGGUCUGUAUCCGUCGUGGGCGUUGGAGAGUUGAGGGGUGCGGACUCUAGUACGAGAGGACCGAGUCGGACGACCCGCUCGUGUCCCGGCUGUCACGCCAGUGGCAACGCCGGGUAGCGAAGGUCGGCACGGAUAACCGCUGAAAGCAUCUAAGUGGGAAGCCGUCCCCAAGAUGAACUCUCCCUGGGACCUUGAGUCCCCUGAAGGGCCGUGGGAGACCACCACGUCGAUAGGUGGGGAGUGGAAAGGCAGCAAUGCCCUCCGAGCUAACCCAUCCUAAUCGCCCGUGCGGCUUGACUAC
rnacentral:rRNA from 1 species